GAAAGCCACGCCUCCACGUGCUCUCCCGUCCAAUCGGCGCGAGAGGGAGGGGCAGCCUCGAUCUCGAUCCACGGAAGCUGUGCUGCACUCAAGGGUACCAGUGACAUCCAAGAGACAAUCGAUUAUAUGCACGUGAAUCCUUUUCAAGGACAGUGACAAUGUCAUUCUUCUCAUCGUCAAAGCACUUGCAAAAAGAUACUAGAUGGAGGGGAGCCCAAAGCUUCAAAGAAAAUUCGUAACAGACAGUAACUUGAUUAAAACCUGAUUCCUUUAAAAGUUCUUACUCCUGGCACGUCAUGGUACUUCUUUCUGCCAGCAGUGAAUGCCAGCCCAUUGAGAUGCCCGUCCUCUGGGAAGCUCCUGGAGCAGGAAUGCAUGGCCAGUGAGAGGAGACUUCUUGUAAAGGAAAACUAGAUGUGGUGAUGUCCAGAAAAAGCAGACACAAGAAGCAAAUACAGAGUAUUAGUACUGGGAUGUUUGAGAUGGGGUCUGCAUGGCCCUGGCUGUGUCCCUCUUACACUGUCUAGUGGACAGGACAGCAUCUGGUAUGGCCUGCAGAGUUGAGCCUUGUGUAUACCUUUUGAAGGCUCUAUGUUAAUGUAUGACAUAGUGUUCUAUUCUGGGAAGGUUAUGGGUGAGCUGAGGAUACAACUUUACAGACUAAGCACAAUGAGUGCGAUCAUAAUUAUUGGUUAUGAACUCUUUCCUUAUUCAUCCAGCACUGGUUGCUUGGGAGUGCUGCAAUAAACAUUCAGUUGCAAAUA